rnacentral:rRNA from 1 species
UACGUAGGGGGGAAGCGUUGUUCGGAUUUACUGGGCGUAAAGGGCGCGUAGGCGGCGCGUAAAGUCGGACAUGAAAUCAUUGGGCUUAACCCAAUGGCUGUGCCCGAUACUUGCGUGCUUAGAGUGCGGGAGAGGCAAUCGGAAUUCUCGGGGUAGCGGUGAAAUGCGUAGAUAUCGAGAGGAACUCCAGUGACGAAGGUGGGUUGCUGGACCGACACUGACGCUGAGGCGCGAAAGCUAGGGGAGCAAACGGG